rnacentral:misc_RNA from 1 species
AACGCACCUUGCGCUCCUUGGCAUUCCGAGGAGCAUGCCUGUUUGAGUGUCGCCGACUUCUCAAACCCCCCCAACCUUCCACGGACCAGGUUGUGGAUUUGGAUCGGUGGAGGAUGCAUUCGCUGUCCCCAGGGACUUGGGGCUGUUGUGCUUCUCUGAAAUGCAUCGGCAUAAAUUAUGGCUGCGGUCACGAACCUGUUGCCGGAAUGAUAUGAAUCCAUCUUACCUGCUUCUAACCUCGUGCCCAGCCGGAGGAACGCCUCAUUAUCUGACCUCAAAUCAGGCAGGACCACCCGCUGAACUUAA